CCGAGCCGUGUGUGCGGCGGCAGCGCGGGGCACCGGGCCGAGCAUCCCCGCCGGGAUGCGGACGGGACGCGCCAAGGUGAACGGUGCUCGGCGGAGCGGGGCCGCCGGCGGCGGGGACAUCGGGAGAGGACAUUGGGGAUGGAGAACCGGGGAGGGGACACCCAGAGGGACGCCAGGACUGAGCACCGGGGAGAGGACAUUAAGGAUGGGGCACUAGGAAAGGGACGCUGUGGAUACUGGGGGUCGGGGCCACUAAGCACCAAGGACCACCCACACCGGGAGACACCGGGAUGGGGAACACCAAGGGACACUGGGAAAGGGAAGACUGGGAAUGGGGCCACUGGGGACGGGGAUAGCUGGGAACAGAGCCCAGGGCUACUCGGGAAGGGACAGGCAGGCCACUGUCUCUCUCCCUGGGCAGUGGGUGGCCAAGGGCACAGCAGCAUCAUGGCCAGCUGCACGAGUCACCUGGGCAUCUGCCGUAGAUCCUGGCUCACCAGAUCCCCAUUUCCACAGGGUCGACUCGGUACUCACCAUGGCUGCAGCACAGCUCGUCACCUGGGGGAUGCUCCUGGCCACUGGAGUCCCUGCCAAAGCCCAGGGGUGCUGCCGGCAGGGCUGUCCUUAGGUGGGGACCCCUUGCACAGCCCUGCCUGGGCACAGCAGUGGCCAAGCCCAUCCCCCAUCUGGGAGGCAUCAGGGGAGCCGAGCGGUGCCGGGGCCCCAAGGAGUGAGCGCUGGGGGGUCAAGCACCCCGUGCACUGGUCCCCACCACUGCAGGCAGGGGAGGGCACCAGGGCACCCCUGGAGAUGGAAACCACUACCACAGGUGCUGAUACCAAGGUCUGGAGGGACGGCAGCACAGUCCCAGCUGUGACAGAGGAGCAGCUUGUUGCCUGGCAAGGGCACGAAGCUGAAAUCCAGGACAGCUCCCUGCCCCAUGGCUCUGCACUGGGUACGCCAGGCCCCGAGUUGCCCACGGACAGAGGGGCAGACUCUCCAGGGCCACCCUGGGCAGGGCAGGGCCUCUCCCUGUCCAGGCACAGUAUCUCCAAGACAGUCAGCACCCCAAGCGCUCAGUCAACCGUAUCCACCACUGCCCUGGACACCACGCUGGCGGUGGGGAUGAGGACAGCAGAUGCGCACACAGAGGGACACACAGCGGCAGAGGGACACACAGCGGUCGCGAGCCUCUCUCAGGAUGCCCAAAUCACUUCAGCCAGAAGCCAGUUGGUCCUGCCAGGCACAGCCCCUGUCUCUGAUCCCACGGGCACAGAGCCAGCCUGGGGUCCCCAUGCCAGCCCUGGCUCUGUGCAGCUGGUGGGCAGCUGGGGGGACACGGCAGGGCCCCUCAGCCCCUCCCCGGCUCUGCUCAGCUCUGCUCCACGGCUGCGCCACACAGCCGCGUCCUGGGACCUGGCUGAGCCCUGGACUCGAGCACUCCCUUCCCACCAGCGCAGCACCCGGAGGGCCCCACUCAGCCACGCCACCACCAGCCCUGGCGAUGCAGGCCCCCGGAUGGACCCUGGGACUACGGGACAGCGGGGACCCCAGCCCGUCCCAGGGUCUGUCCUCAGCACCGGCCCUGCGUCACCCCCCGCCUCCAGCACGGCCACCCCCGGUACCCCGAGCAGAGGGCUGCUUCCCGAGGAGGACGUCGGCUCCCCGCAGCAGGUCCGGGGCGCCGUGGGCCCUGUGAGCGUCCCAAAUGUCACCAAAACUACCCCACAGCCAACGACACAUCCCACCACGGGGACGCUCGGGACAAGGCACCAAGACACGUCGGGGACGCAGACCCCAGCCUCCAGCACUGCGACCCCCUCUGCCACGUGGCGACGGGCAGGGAUGACGUCUCAGCCAGUCCCCCGAGAUCCAUCAUCGCCGCAGCCACAGUCCACAGUCCGUGCCCCCCCGGCGCUGGGGGCCAACGCGACCGGGCUGCGCUGGGCCGAGCUGCAGCGCCAGCUGGGCUUCUCCUGGGAGGCCCACGUCUAUGGAGUGGCUGCCGUCUUCCUGCUGCUGGCGCUGGGCUGCCUGGCCGGGUUGGCGGGGACAGCCAUCCUGCGGCCCCCACACCCUCUCCACGUUGUGGGGGCCCACGGGCUGCUGCUGGCCGCCUGCCUGCUGCGGGCCACCUUUCUGCUGCUGGAUCCCUAUGGGGCACGGGGCCGUCUGCCCGCUCCGGCGCUGCUGCUGUUCAACACGGCCCCUUUCCCCCUGCUGCUCGCCGCCUUUGCCCUCCUGCUCCAGCGGCUGCAGCGCCUGGCCCAGCUUCAGCUGCUGCCNNNNNNNNNNNNNNNNNNNNAAACC
rnacentral:lncRNA from 1 species